rnacentral:rRNA from 1 species
GAUGAACGCUGGCGGCGUGCCUAAUACAUGCAAGUCGAGCGAACGGACGAGAAGCUUGCUUCUCUGAUGUUAGCGGCGGACGGGUGAGUAACACGUGGAUAACCUACCUAUAAGACUGGGAUAACUUCGGGAAACCGGAGCUAAUAACGGAUAAUAUUUUGAACCGCAUGGUUCAAAAGUGAAAGACGGUCUUGCUGUCUCUUAUAGAUGGAUCCGCGCUGCAUUAGCUAGUUGGUAAGGUAACGGCUUACCAAGGCAACGAAGCAUAGCCGACCUGAUGGGGUGAUCGGCCACACUGGAACUGAGACAAGGUCCAGAACUCUAAGGGAGGCCGCAGUAGGGAAUCUUCCGCAAUGGGCGAAAGCCUGACGGAGCAACGCCGCGUGAGUGAUGAAGGUCUUCGGAUCGGAAAACUCUGUUAGUAGGGAAGAACAUAUGUGUAAGUAACUGUGCACAGCUUGACGGUACCUAAUCAGAAAGCCACGGCUAACUACGGG